rnacentral:rRNA from 1 species
GAACGCUGGCGGCGUGGAUAAGACAUGCAAGUCGAGCGAAAGUCAACGGGUAGCAAUAUUCGGUGGCUUUAGCGGCGUAAGGGUGCGUAACACGUGGGUAAUCUACCCUAAAGUUUGGAAUAACUCCGAGAAAUCGGAGCUAAUACCAAAUGUGAAUCAGUAACGGCAUCGUUGCUGGUUCAAAGCUGGGGACCGUAAGGCCUGGCGCUUUAGGAUUAGCCCGCGGCCUAUCAGCUAGUUGGCGGGGUAACGGCCCGCCAAGGCUAAGACGGGUAGCUGGUCUGAGAGGACGACCAGCCACACUGGAACUGAGACACGGUCCAGACACCUACGGGUGGCAGCAGUCGAGAAUUUUUCACAAUGGGCGAAAGCCUGAUGGAGCGACGCCGCGUGGGGGAUGAAUGGCUUCGGCCCGUAAACCCCUGUCAUUCGCGGGCAAAGCUGACGGGCUAAUAACUCGUUAGUUGAUAGUAGCGAAAGAGGAAGGGACGGCUAACUCUGUGCCAGCAGCCGCGGUAAUACAGAGGUCCCAAGCGUUGUUCGGAUUUACUGGGCGUAAAGGGUGCGUAGGCGGUUGAUCAAGUUCGAUGUGAAAUCUCCAAGCCUAACUUGGAAAAUGCAUUGAAAACUAGUCAGCUAGAGUGUUGAAGAGGAGACUGGAAUUCUCGGUGUAGCAGUGAAAUGCGUAGAUAUCGAGAGGAACACCAGUGGCGAAGGCGAGUCUCUGGGCAACAACUGACGCUGAGGCACGAAAGCUAGGGGAGCAAACAGGAUUAGAUACCCUGGUAGUCCUAGCCCUAAACUGUGCACGUUUGCUGUGGACGGAAUCGACCCCGUCCGUGGCGAAGCUAACGCGAUAAACGUGCCGCCUGGGAAGUACGGCCGCAAGGUUAAAACUCAAAGAAAUUGACGGGGGCCUGCACAAGCGGUGGAGUAUGUGGCUCAAUUCGAUACAACGCGAAGAACCUACCUGGCCUUGACAUGUAGGUAGUAGAAGCCUGAAAGGGUGACGAGGUAGCAAUACCAGCCUACACAGGUGCUGCAUGGCUGUCGUCAGCUCGUGUCGUGAGAUGUUGGGUUAAGUCCCGCAACGAGCGCAACCCCUGUGUCCUGUUGCCACCCGGCUGAAAGGCUGGAGCACUCUGGACAGACUGCCUCGCUUAAACGAGGAGGAAGGUGGGGAUGACGUCAAGUCAGUAUGGCCCUUACGGCCAGGGCUGCACACGUACUACAAUGCCCGGCACAAUGGGAUGCGAUACCGUAAGGUGGAGCAAAUCCCCAAAAACCGGGCCCAGUUCAGAUUGUCGGCUGCAACUCGCCGGCAUGAAGCUGGAAUCGCUAGUAAUGGCGCAUCAGCUACGGCGCCGUGAAUACGUUCCCAGGCCUUGUACACACCGCCCGUCACAUCAUGAAAGCCAUUUGUACCCGAAGUCAACAUGCCAACCGCAAGGGGGCAGUUGCCGAAGGUGUGAACGGUAAUUGGGAUGAAGUCGUAACAAGGUA